CGAACCCUGCGGCUCUUGGAGUCAACGCCAAAAUCCUAACCAUGGCUGGAAGCCCCGUGAGACCCUGCCUGUCACUGUGACCUCUUCUCGUACCAUCUUCCCCCAGCACCUUGGAUUCUCUGUUCCCCCGGGUACACCAGGGCCUCACACAUGCUGGCCUCUCUACCUGGCGUGUCACCCUCUUCCCUCCCGCUCACCUCAGGUUUAGCUCAAACCUCGCUUCCUCAGGAGAGCCUUAGCAUCACCUCCGCCCCUCCUGCCAGCUCAGAUCCCACUGCCUGUGCCUUCACAGCUUCUCUUAACAGUCUGGAGGCUAUAUUGAUGAGAUUCUUUGGUUAAUCGCUGGCACACCCAUGACUGUAAUCCUCAUAAAGCUAGGAACUGCUUCUAUUUUUCUCACACCUCCGUCACAGUACCGGUUGGCGUAGAGCUGCGGUCCCUGAACUCAGGAAGCUCAGUUGCAAUAACGGAGAAGACAAUUAACAAGCAUACAGCAAACUUGUAUCAAUUGUGAAAGAAACAUUACAGGGUGAUGGGGUGGCAGAGGUCUUCUUUCCAUAGGCCAUCACGGAUGGCCUCUUUGAGGAAGCAACAUUAAAGCUCAGGCCAGAACGCCACUGUGCAACAAACCGGCACAGCACGUGCAAAAACCCAGAGGGGGGAAAAAGCAUGUUCCCUCAGAGGAACAGAAAGAGCUUUAGGUCGGCACCAGCCAGACCACGUGGCCCACACAGGUUAAGAAGUCUGGUUUUUGUUUUAGAAGCUACCUGAUAAAGCCACUGGAGGGAAUGCAGUAGGUGUGGCGCCUAUCGUGGGCGCGGCAGACAUGAUCGAAUCUAAAUGUCCUUAAAAGAACAUUCUGGCACGUGGGUGGAGAACAGAAGCAGGGGCAAGAGGAGAAGGAGGGCAACCGAGUAGGAGGGCCUAUAACAGCCCAGCUGCCCAUACUGUGUUGAACCUCAGCAUGAAAAUGGACAAUUUCCCCUGUAUCUUUGGGUCUUCAUUCCGAAGUCUCCUGUGACAGGGCAGACAUCCAGCCAGAGAGGCAGCCAGACCCAAUGGACUGCAACACCACAUAGGGGUGAGAGGCAGGUGGCAGCAGCAGUAAUGGAGAUGGGGAGAUGCAUUUCACCUGGGAGGAUCGUAGAGCGCUUCCUGGAGCAGGUGAUUC